rnacentral:rRNA from 1 species
AGAGCGAACGCUGGCGGCAGGCCUAACACAUGCAAGUCGAACGGACCCUUCGGGGUUAGUGGCGGACGGGUGAGUAACACGUGGGAACGUGCCUUUUGGUUCGGAAUAGCUCCUGGAAACGGGUGGUAAUGCCGAAUGUGCCCUUCGGGGGAAAGAUUUAUCGCCAUUAGAGCGGCCCGCGUCUGAUUAGCUAGUUGGUAAGGUAAUGGCUUACCAAGGCGACGAUCAGUAGCUGGUCUGAGAGGAUGACCAGCCACAUUGGGACUGAGACACGGCCCAAACUCCUACGGGAGGCAGCAGUGGGGAAUCUUGCGCAAUGGGCGAAAGCCUGACGCAGCCAUGCCGCGUGAAUGAUGAAGGUCUUAGGAUUGUAAAAUUCUUUCACCGGGACGAUAAUGACGGUACCCGGAGAAGAAGCCCCGGCUAACUUCGUGCCAGCAGCCGC